ensembl:lncRNA
GGUUAGUGUUUGAGGUGCUGGCCGCUCGCUUCUCCUCCUGCACAUGCUCAGACAUGGUCUGGCAGAGGGUGCGCUGGAAGCUGCUGGAGACCGUCCCAGCGUGCUGGCUGGAGUGUGUUCUCACUGGGCUGGUGUGGACUGUCAACAGGUAAGGGAAGGGGAGAUAGCUAGAGGUUAUAAAAAGGUGUCAAGCUUUGUCUUUGUCCCAUGUCUUUUUCUCGUAAUGCAAGUGUUCUUUUUCCUCUAAGCCUGACAGAGGUCCAGGAUCAUGGGGAACCUGGUGUUGAAGGACAGAAAGUCCACUUAAAAAGCUGCUGUUAUAGCUAGUCUUCAACUUCACUCUUGUUUUGAGGAUUCUUCUGGGCUACCCGACUCAGGACAGGGAGAGGCCACUACUUAUACAGGUGAGUGUACAACAGUCUUUUGUGUUGUGGUGAUAUGUGUGUAUUUUCUUGACAAUGUUGAUUGUGUGUGCGUGUGACUGAGUGUGUCCAGGUGCUGCGGUUGCUGUGCCAGGCCUGAGCCAACCCCCUCUGGAGCAGCAGCUCUAUGUGAGCCGGGCUCUGCUGCUGUGUGUGACUGAGUGAUGCAGAGCUACAGUAGCUACGCUCAGAGUUACUGCAGGUCAUGCUGGGAGGGAUACAGAGCCACCUGGAUAGCAGCGUAGUGCAUGUGAGGGGCAUGGUGGUUGGGGAGUGUCUCCGCUCCUGCAUGGACAUCAACAGAGCCAAGCUCAAACUCGAGGAUGAGGAGACCAAGGAGCUGCUCUCACUGAUGACUCCACUUUCUGAUGAAGAAACGGAGCCGCUUGAUGACAGAUUGGCUCGUCCUCGAGGUCAAAGGGCAGACCAUCCCAGGCUGCUUCAGUGGCCCAGAAAUCAGGAGCUGACCCAGACUCUUGUUAUACACUACAUGUAUUAACAUAAUAAUGUCUGUGAGACUGAAGUUGUAUAUUUAAUUCAAAUCAUUACAGCUUAAUGAAUCUUCCCAUGGGCAGUUAAGAAGGCAUGGUAUAGAGCUCGCCAACUUGUAGUCCUAAAAAACAUAAAUGCUUCAAAAAUCACAUUUAGAUUAACUAAUGAAGAUUAUCUCAUUGAGGAGAACAUAUACGAUCUCCUAAGCCUGUGUUUACCACAGACCUUAUUUUCGGUGUUUAUCCAAAAACCCUACAAAAACGCCAUUAAUUUCCCCAUAACCUUGUCCAAUGAACCAUGGUGGAGUUAGUGCCUACAAAAAAACGCAAUUUCUAUUUCUCUCUACAGUACUGUUGUAUUAACUAGGCUCUAUGUCCCUGUCCUGUGUUUGUAUGAACCAGUGAUGAUUCGCUCACCCCCUACUGACCAGGAGAUGAGACAAGCCGCCCUGCCUUGCUACCUCCGAGACAGUCUUGGAGAGUAAGAUACAGUAAAAACAGUACAUUCGGAAGGUAUUCAGACCCCUUCCCCAUUUUGUUGUAGCCUUAUUCUAAAAUGGAUUAAAUGAAACAUUGGACUCUGCAAGGUGUUGAAAGUGUUCCACAGGGAUGCUGGCCCAUGUUGACUCCAAUGCUUCCCACAGUUGUCAAGUUGUUUGGCUGGCCUUUGGGUGAUGGAUCUUUCUUGAUACACACAGGAAACCGUUGAGUGCAGGGUACUUGAAUUAAAAUGAGCGGAACAGAACAUGAUCAAAUAUGUUAUUUCCUUACGUGUUUUCCUUUCACCACAAUAGCACUCAGCCAGGCAGGUACAAAAUUGAUUGAUUAAGCGCCGCCAAACAUCACAUCGAUAGCUAAAAGGCCGGGCAAAUGUAGAUGUAUUCCUGCCUGGCAGGAUACUGAUGUUAAUGAAUGGGUUUUGCCAGACAACCAGGGAUGUAGUGGAGCGUGAACGCCAUUUACGCACAUUUUUACUUGUGAAAUAGCGUUUACUUUUAUACAUUUAUUUUUGUAUUAUUGUUUACCCACUUAUUAUUACGUUCCCAGCAUUGAUCAACGCUCAGAAGGAUUGUUGAUCAGAGUUCUAACCUCAGCAGGAGCAGUUGACUGACAUUAAGAUGGCUAAUACAAUUUCUCUUAACCAAAUACAUUUUAUUUACAGAGGGUAGUGAGGCUGCAAUGAAGGAGGCAAAGGAAGAUCCAAAGAGAGGAAGCGUUGAAGCAAGCAGGGACUGAGGACAGUAUUACAGUUGUACCCAAACUUGGGGCCCCCCAAAUUUUUAAAUAGGGUCCCCUGAGAGUUCUUAAUCUUAUUAAACACAUUAAUAACUUGUAUCUCUUCAAAUGGGUAUAGAAUGCAACAUUUUAGAGUCAACUAAAUGAAGGGCAUUUUACAGUCAGAAUUCGUCAUUGUGUUGGGACAGCUUGUGGGACCCAACAUGACUUAUAAAGACAAUUUAAAUAUUAUCAUGUACACUGAACAAAAAUAUAAAUGCAACAUGCAAAGAUUUCAAAGAUUAUACUGGGUUAGUUCAUAUGAGAAUCAGUCAACAUCAUCAGUACUGACUUACCACUCUUGUGUAGUAAAAAUAAGUAGUGAAAUGUAUUAUUGAGUAGAACUUGUAAGGUAGUGAUGAAUAGUACUUUUUUUUUCAUGUGGUUGAUAUACUGCAAUCUGGUGGUGACGAAAAACAUUUGCAUAAUAGGAAGUAUUACAAAUUGAUGAUCCUUGAAAAUAAAUAUUAGUGCUUAAGACUGCAGCAUUGCAGUUCUUGACACAAACCAGUGCGCCUGGCACCUACUACCAUACCCCUUUCAAAGGCACUUUAAUAUUUUGCCUUGGCCAUUCACCCUCUGAAUGGCACACAUACACAAUCCAUGUCUCAAGGAUAUAACAUCAAUAAGGGAUCAUAGCGUUCACCUGGUCAGUCUGUCGUGGUGUCCACAACGUUUUGUACACUGUGUACAUACCAUGCACAGUUUUGACAAUGUGGAUGAUACAUACUGAAUUUAUACUGUUUUUCAUACUAAGAUGUGUUGCUUUUUCACAUAUUUGUUCAUUGGUUUUGCAGGCGUUGGUUGAUGGGUCAGUUGGUUUUUGAAUAUGUUGAUGCCAUUUUUUUUUUUUUUAUACCUUUUAUUUUACUAGGCAAGUCAGUUAAGAACAAAUUCUUAUUUUCAUUGACUAAGAAUAGGAUGCAAUGUCCACCCCAAAAUAUAAGCUUGUUUUACUCCAUUGUUUGUAAACCAUAUAAUUGUACAAAUAAAUUGUUGGUUGCGUAAAUAAUGACUAAAUGUUACAUGAAAUGUAAUUAAGAAAUAUUUAAACUGAAUGAAAACCCCUAUGUUUAAUAUGUAUUGGCAAUAAUUCACUUAAUGGUGAGGCAUAGAAUAAUGUCUUUUCUCACACUGGAUGUGAGCAGGUGAUUUGAGUCAUGCUUCUUUAGUAGUGGAAUAAAGACAAUUAGCACUUGAAUGUUCUUAAUACUGUGUACUUCCUGAAUUGAUGUGUGAUUAUUAAUACAAUUGUUCAUUGACUAAUUUGAUACUGUGAUACUGUUUCCAUUUGAAUGAAACUACAUUAGUUUUUUCAGGUCGUUUCAAUGACUUGAACAAACUUUCAACCGAAAGUAGGAUAUUAGGAAGAUGUUCUUGAUGUUUUGUACACAAUGUAUACUGUCCAAAAUGUAUCCUUGCCAUAAGUGUCCCCAUGGCAUACUACAAACAGUGCCUUCCGGAAAAUAUUCAGACUCCUUGACUUUUUCCACAUUUUGUUACGUUACAGCCUUAUUCUGAAAUUAAAU